UGAGGAAUAUUGGUCAAUGGGGGAAACCCUGAACCAGCAACGCCGCGUGAGGGAAGACGGUUUUCGGAUUGUAAACCUCUGUCCUCUGUGAAGAUGAUGACGGUAGCAGAGGAGGAAGCUCCGGCUAACUACGUGCCAGCAGCCGCGGUAAUACGUAGGGAGCGAGCGUUGUCCGGAAUCAUUGGGCGUAAAGGGUGCGUAGGUGGCACGAUAAGUCUGAAGUAAAAGGCAACAGCUCAACUGUUGUAUGCUUUGGAAACUGUCGAGCUAGAGUGCAGAAGAGGGCGAUGGAAUUCCAUGUGUAGCGGUAAAAUGCGUAGAUAUAUGGAGGAACACCAGUGGCGAAGGCGGUCGCCUGGUCUGUAACUGACACUGAUGCACGAAAGCGUGGGGAGCAAAUAGGAUUAGAUACC
rnacentral:rRNA from 1 species